AAAUGAUGAUACCCAUAUUAGAUGACGAGUCUGAAUGUUUUGAUGCUGAGCGGUUUUCGCGACGCGUCGUUACAUGUUGAGACUCUUUUUAAAUACCAUUCAUGCAUUUCUGAUA
rnacentral:snoRNA from 1 species